GGAGUUUGGACCGUGUCUCAGUUCCAAUGUGGGGGACCUUCCUCUCAGAACCCCUACUGAUCGUCGCCCUGGUGGGCCGUUACCCCGCCAGCAAGCUAAUCAGACGCAUCCCCAUCCGGAAACGAUGAAUCUUUACUCCAAAUCAGAUGUCCUCUUCGGAGCACAUAGGACAUUAGGCCGCGUUUCCACGGAUUAUUCCCUAUUUCCAGGCAGGUUGGAUACGCGUUACUCACCCGUGCGCCGGUCGACGCCUAUCGAAAGCAAGCUUUCAAUAUCGUUUCCCCUCGACUUGCAUGUGUUAAGCCUGUAGCUAGCGUUCAUCCUGAGCCAUGAUCAAACACU
rnacentral:rRNA from 1 species